GACGAACGCUGGCGGCGUACUUAACACAUGCAAGUCGAACGGGGUUAACUUUUAAGCUUGCUUAGGGGUUAACCAAGUGGCGGACGGGUGAGUAACACGAGAGCAACCUACCCGUAAGACUGGGAUAACACUGGGAAACUGGUGCUAAUACCGGACGUGCCGCAGGGGGGGCACCCUUUUUGCAGGGAAGGGGAAACCCGCUUACGGAUGGGCUCGCGGUCCAUUAGCUAGUUGGGAGGGUAACGGCCUACCAAGGCGACGAUGGAUAGCCGGCCUGAGAGGGUGGUCGGCCACACUGGGGACUGAGACACGGCCCAGACUCCUACGGGAGGCAGCAUG
rnacentral:rRNA from 1 species